ensembl:snRNA U1 U1 spliceosomal RNA
AUACUUACCUGGCAGGGGAGAUACCAUGAUCACGAAGGUGGUUUUCCCAGGGUGAGGUUUAUCCAUUGCACUCCGGAUGUGCUGACCCCUGCGAUUUCCCCAAAUGUGGGAAACUUGACUGCAUAAUUUGUUGUAGUUGGGGACUGUGUUCACGCUAG